rnacentral:rRNA from 1 species
GGUUAAGUGAAUAAGGGCGCACGGUGGAUGCCUUGGCACUAGGAGCCGAUGAAGGACGGGACUAACACCGAUAUGCUUCGGGGAGCUGUAAGUAAGCUUUGAUCCGGAGAUUUCCGAAUGGGGAAACCCAGCAUCUUUUAUAGGAUGUUACUUUUCAGUGAAUACAUAGCUGAUUAGAGGUAGACGCAGAGAACUGAAACAUCUAAGUACCUGCAGGAAGAGAAAGAAAAAUCGAUUCCCUGAGUAGCGGCGAGCGAAACGGGAAAAGCCCAAACCAAGAGGCUUGCCUCUUGGGGUUGUAGGACUCCGAUAUGGUAGUCCAGUGAGAUAGUCGAAGGACCUGGAAAGGUCUGCUAGAAAGGGUAAAAGCCCCGUAGACAAAAUUUGACUGGCACCUAGGAGGAUCCUGAGUACGGCGGAACACGAGGAAUUCCGUCGGAAUCCGGGAGGACCAUCUCCCAAGGCUAAAUACUCCCUAGUGACCGAUAGUGAACCAGUACCGUGAGGGAAAGGUGAAAAGCACCCCGGAAGGGGAGUGAAAUAGAUCCUGAAACCGUGUGCCUACAACAAGUUAGAGCCCGUUAAUGGGUGAUAGCGUGCCUUUUGUAGAAUGAACCGGCGAGUUACGAUUACUUGCGAGGUUAAGUUGAAAAGACGGAGCCGCAGCGAAAGCGAGUCUGAAUAGGGCGAAUGAGUAAGUGGUCGUAGACCCGAAACCAUGUGAUCUACCCAUGUCCAGGUUGAAGGUGCGGUAAAACGCACUGGAGGACCGAACCCACGUACGUUGAAAAGUGCGGGGAUGAGGUGUGGGUAGCGGAGAAAUUCCAAACGAACUUGGAGAUAGCUGGUUCUCUCCGAAAUAGCUUUAGGGCUAGCCUCAGAGUAAGAAUGAUGGAGGUAGAGCACUGUUUGGACUAGGGGCCCAUCUCGGGUUACCGAAUUCAGAUAAACUCCGAAUGCCAUCCAUUCAUCUCUGGGAGUCAGACUGUGAGUGAUAAGAUCCAUAGUCGAAAGGGAAACAGCCCAGACCACCAGCUAAGGUCCCCAAAUAACUAUUAAGUGGAAAAGGAUGUGGGGUUGCACAGACAACUAGGAUGUUGGCUUAGAAGCAGCCACCAUUUAAAGAGUGCGUAAUAGCUCACUAGUCGAGUGACCCUGCGCCGAAAAUGUACCGGGGCUAAAUAGUUUACCGAAGCUGUGGAAUACNNNNNNNNNNNNNNNNNNNNNNNNNNNNNNNNNNNNNNNNNNNNNNNNNNNNNNNNNNNNNNNNNNNNNNNNNNNNNNNNNNNNNNNNNNNNNAACAAGUACCGAAGUUCCUGAUGUCACACUGCCGAGAAAAGCUUCUAGUGAGAAAACAAUGGCCCGUACCGCAAACCGACACAGGUAGUCGAGGAGAGAAUCCUAAGGUGAGCGAGAGAACUCUCGUUAAGGAACUCGGCAAAAUGACCCCGUAACUUCGGGAGAAGGGGUGCUGAUCUAACGAUCAGCCGCAGUGAAUAGGCCCAAGCGACUGUUUAUCAAAAACACAGGUCUCUGCAAAAUCGAAAGAUGACGUAUAGGGGCUGACGCCUGCCCGGUGCUGGAAGGUUAAGAGGAGUGCUUAGCGUAAGCGAAGGUACGAAUUGAAGCCCCAGUAAACGGCGGCCGUAACUAUAACGGUCCUAAGGUAGCGAAAUUCCUUGUCGGGUAAGUUCCGACCCGCACGAAAGGCGUAACGAUUUGGGCACUGUCUCAACGAGAGACUCGGUGAAAUUUUAGUACCUGUGAAGAUGCAGGUUACCCGCGACAGGACGGAAAGACCCCAUGGAGCUUUACUGCAGUUUGAUAUUGAGUGUUUGUACCACAUGUACAGGAUAGGUAGGAGCCGUAGAAGUCGGGACGCUAGUUUCGACAGAGGCGCUGGUGGGAUACUACCCUUGUGUUAUGACCACUCUAACCCGCACCACUAAUCGUGGUGGGAGACAGUGUCAGAUGGGCAGUUUGACUGGGGCGGUCGCCUCCUAAAGAGUAACGGAGGCGCCCAAAGGUUCCCUCAGAAUGGUUGGAAAUCAUUCGCAGAGUGUAAAGGCACAAGGGAGCUUGACUGCGAGACCUACAAGUCGAGCAGGGACGAAAGUCGGGCUUAGUGAUCCGGUGGUUCCGCAUGGAAGGGCCAUCGCUCAACGGAUAAAAGCUACCCUGGGGAUAACAGGCUUAUCUCCCCCAAGAGUCCACAUCGACGGGGAGGUUUGGCACCUCGAUGUCGGCUCGUCGCAUCCUGGGGCUGUAGUCGGUCCCAAGGGUUGGGCUGUUCGCCCAUUAAAGCGGCACGCGAGCUGGGUUCAGAACGUCGUGAGACAGUUCGGUCCCUAUCCGUCGCGGGCGUUGGAAAUUUGAGAGGAUCUGUCCUUAGUACGAGAGGACCGGGAUGGACUUACCGCUGGUGUACCAGUUGUCUCGCCAGAGGCAUCGCUGGGUAGCUAUGUAGGGAAGGGAUAAACGCUGAAAGCAUCUAAGUGUGAAGCCCACCUCAAGAUGAGAUUUCCCAUUUCUUUAAGAAAGUAAGAUCCCUGAGAGAAGAUCAGGUAGAUAGGUCAGGAGUGGAAGUGCAGUGAUGUACGGAGCGGACUGAUACUAAUCGAUCGAGGACUUAACCAA